rnacentral:tRNA from 1 species
GCUGGGAUGGCGGAAUGGUCAACGCGAUCCAUUGAUACCGGAUUGCCCUCUGGGCCUGUGGGUUCAAUUCCCACUCCCGGCG